rnacentral:rRNA from 4 species
CACCACCUGAAUCCAUUCCGAACUCAGAAGUGAAACACACCAGCGCCGAUGGUAGUGUGGGGUCUCCCCAUGCGAGAGUAGGUCACCGCCAGAC